rnacentral:tRNA from 1 species
GCCUAGUUAGCUUGGCAGGUAGAGCGCUUGCCUUGUAAGCACUAGGUCGCGGGUUCGAUUGCCGCCCGGGGCG